CCUACGGGUGGCAGCAGUGAGGAAUAUUGGUCAAUGGGCGCGAGCCUGAACCAGCCAAGUCGCGUGAGGGAAGACGGUCCUAUGGAUUGUAAACCUCUUUUGCCGGGGAGCAAAAGACGCCACGCGUGGCGUUCCGAGAGUACCCGAAGAAAAAGCAUCGGCUAACUCCGUGCCAGCAGCCGCGGUAAUACGGAGGAUGCGAGCGUUAUCCGGAUCUAUUGGGUUUAAAGGGUGCGCAGGCGGAAGAUCAAGGCAGCGGUAAAAUUGAGAGGCUCAACCUCUUCGAGCCGUUGAAACUGGUUGUCUUGAGUGAGUGAGAAGUAUGCGGAAUGCGUGGUGUAGCGGUGAAAUGCAUAGAUAUCGCGCAGAACUCCGAUUGCGAAGGCAGCAUACCGGCGCUCAACUGACGCUCAUGCACGAAAGUGUGGGUAUCGAACAGGAUUAGAUACCCUGGUAGUC
rnacentral:rRNA from 1 species